AUGUAGAGCAAUCUCUGUCUAAGUAGGGGUAAAUUACUCUUUAAAAAAAAAAAAAAGGAAAAAAAAGAUCCUAGAUAGUUUUCCCUUCAAGUAAAGCGUCUUGU
rnacentral:pre_miRNA from 1 species